rnacentral:antisense_RNA from 1 species
UUUUAUGGCGGCUGUGCGCGGGACACUUUCGGGUGUGCCGGGUUUUUCAUUUUUCCCGGUCGGCUAACCCUCGUACAGCUGCCACCCAU